AUGGCGUCCCGGUGGCUGUUGCUGCUUCUUCUCGGAGUCGCGGGCGGUGGUGGAGGCGUUCUUCAAGUCCAUGCCCAGGUCGAUAGCUUAGGUUUCAUAAGCAUAGAUUGCGGUCUCCCGGGGGAGGCGGGCUACAUGGACAACAUCACCAAGCUCUGGUACACCCCGGACGCCGGCUACACCGAUGCCGGCACCAACCGCAACAUCUCCCCCGAGUACCAGGCAGGUAAGAGCUGGCGUAAUGUCCGCAGCUUCCCUGCUGGCGCGCGGAACUGCUACACGCUUCGGUCCCUCGUAUUCGGGCUCAAGUAUCUCAUUCGGGCCAUGUUCAUGCACGGCAACUACGACGGCCUCAAGAGGUGGCCCAUUUUUGACGUUCACAUCGGCGUGAACUACUGGCAGACUGUGAACAUAACAGACGGCGACAUGCCUGUGAUCGCCGAGAUCAUCACCGUCAUCUCCGGCGAAUCCGUCCAGGUGUGCCUCGUGAACACCGGCUCCGGGACUCCGUUCAUCUCCAGCCUCGAGGUGAGGCCUCUGAAGAACAAGCUCUACCCGCAAUCGGACGCGUCCCAAGCACUGGUUCUCGUCGCGAGGGCCAACAUUGGCUCCGAUAAAUCCAUCAGGUACCCCGACGAUCCACAUGACCGUAUAUGGAUCGAGUUGCCCACGGGGUAUGGAUGGGCGCCGAUCUCAACGACCAAGAAGGUGCAGAACGACGUCAAUGACGUUUUCGAGGCACCGUCCGCCGUGACACAAACCGGAGUAACGUCCAUCAACUCCUCCAGACCCAUCUUUUUCACCCAGGAUGCACAACCCAAUGGCAACGCCAAAGAUCUAGUGCCCGGGUACGUUUUCAUGAUGUACAUGGCAGAGCUGCAACUUCUUCCGAGCAACGCCCUCCGCCAGUUCUACGUCAAGCUCAACGGCAAGCUCUGGAACGCCAAAACUCUCGGCCUGAAGUACCUCAAGACGACUGUCAUGUACAAUGAAAAACCUGAUUACGCCUCCCACCAAUACAUCUUCUCAUUGGAGGCCACCACCAACUCCACGCUCCCGCCCAUCGUUAACGCCCUCGAGAUCUUCUCCGCCGUUCCCACCGCUGGUAUAUCCACUGCAGCUCAGGAAGUUUCUGCCAUGACGACCAUCAGGGACAAGUACCAGGUGAAAAAGAACUGGAUGGGCGAUCCUUGCGCGCCCACGAAUUACGCGUGGAAGGGAUUGCAUUGUAGCUAUGCUGUUUCUACCACACCAACUAUCACAGGCUUGAAUUUAUCUUCCAGUGGUCUGAGUGGCAACAUUUCAUCUUCUUUUGCAAGCCUCAAAGGUUUACAGUACUUGGAUUUGUCACACAACAAUCUGACGGGCUCCAUUCCCGACGCCCUUUCACAAUUGUCAUUGCUCACACUUCUAGAUUUAACAGGAAAUCAGCUCAGUGGAUCAAUUCCUUCUGGACUUCUCAGAAGAACCCAAGAUGAGUCCCUAACACUUAGAUAUGGUAAUAAUACAAAUCUCUGCAGUAACGGCAACUCCUGUCAGCUUGCAAAAAAGAAGAGAAACUCUAUGGUUGCUGUCUAUGUUGCAGUUCUUGUAUUUUUGGUACUGAUGGUUGUGCUUUUGUCUGUACUAAUUUGCAUGCGAAGUAGAAAGCAAGGAAUAACAACAAAUAGUGUAAGGCCGCAAAAUGAGGAAAUUAACAGGAAUGGACACACCUCACUACGACUCGAGAAUCGCCGAUUCACGUACAGUGAAUUAGAGGCUAUCACGAAUGGCUUCCAACGAGUGAUUGGCCAAGGAGGGUUUGGGAAAGUCUAUGAUGGUUUCUUGGAGGAUGGCACCCAGGUGGCUGUCAAACUGUUGUCUGAAUCUUCCAACCAAGGUUUACAAGAAUUCUUGGCAGAGGCUCAGACCUUGGCUAAGAUUCACCACAAGAAUCUAGUGUCCUUGUUUGGCUAUUGCAAGGAGAGGGAGAACAUGGCUCUUGUCUAUGAGUACAUGUCUGAAGGAUCCCUAGACAAGCAUCUUAGAGGGAGAGACAACAACACAAGAACUUUAACCUGGAGACAGAGACUUCUUAUCGCCAUGGAAUCCGCCCAAGGGCUUGAGUAUUUGCACAAGGGGUGCAAUCCGCCCCUCAUUCACAGGGACGUGAAGACGUCCAACAUUCUGCUGAAUACAAGGUUGGAGGCCAAGAUCGCCGAUUUUGGCUUGCUUAAGGCUUUCAAUAACGAUGGUGAUACACAUGUGUCCACAGCCAGGUUGGUUGGGACACAUGGUUACCUUGAGCCUGAGUACCACGCUACGCUUCAGCUGACCAACAAGAGUGACGUGUUCAGCUUCGGCGUAGUGCUACUUGAGAUAGUCACAGGGCAACCACCUAUCCUGAAUGGUCCAGAGCCGACGAGCAUCAUCCAGUGGACGCGUUAG
rnacentral:rRNA from 1 species